rnacentral:rRNA from 1 species
UAGUAUUCAAUUGUCAGAGGUGAAAUUCUUGGAUUUAUUGAAGACUAACUACUGCGAAAGCAUUUGCCAAGGAUGUUUUCAUUAAUCAAGGACGAAAGUUAGGGGAUCGAAGACGAUCAGAUACCGUCGUAGUCUUAACCAUAAACUAUGCCGACUAGGGAUCGGAUGAUGUUAAUUUUUUAAUGACUCA